rnacentral:rRNA from 1 species
GAUGAACGCUGGCGGCAUGCCUAAUACAUGCAAGUCGAGCGAUCACAUGAAGAGCUUGCCUCUUUUACGUAAGCGUCGCACGCGUGAGUAACACGUGGGUAACCUACCUUUAAGACUGGAAUAAACCAGUGAAACCGGUGCCAAUGACGGCUUAACUUUACAACAGCAUGGUUCUAGAGCGAAAGAUGGUUUUGCUAUCACUUUUCGAUGGUCCCGUGCCGUAUUAGCUAGUUGGUCAGGUAACGGCUUACCAAGGCCACGAUCCGUAGCCGACCUGAGAGGAUGAUCGGCCACACUGGAACUGAGACACGGUCCAGACUCCUACGGGAGGCAGCAGUUGGGAAUCUUCCACAAUGGGCGAAAGCCUGACGCAGCAACGCCGCGUGUAUGAUGAAGGUCUUCGGAUCGUAAAACACUGUUAUUAGGGAAGAACAAAUUAAUAAGUAACUGUGCGCUUAUUGACGUUACCUAAUCAAAAAGCCACGGCUAACUACGUG